GGAAGGGCGACCGACCGUGGGGAGGAAGCGUGGAGCGAAACUGCGGGCCGAUGAACAAGAAUCGGAUAGAAGGCGCUGCCGAGCAGGGCGAGCGGGCAAGAAGCCGCGAAGCUCUUGUG
rfam:Candidatus Burkholderia verschuerenii strain TZHbot4 BVERctg43, whole genome shotgun sequence.